rnacentral:pre_miRNA from 1 species
AAAGUACUCCCUCCGUCCUAAAAUUCUUGUCCUAGAUUUGUCUAGAUAUGAAUGUAUCUAGUCAUGCUUUAGUAUUUAGAUAUACUCAUUUAUAGAUAAAACUAAGACAAAUUUUUUGAAACGGAGAGAGUAUGUU